AUCGAACGCUGGCGGCAGGCCUAAUACAUGCAAGUCGAGCGGUGCGGCGGAAGGGUAAGUAAUGCCUAGUCAUCUGCCUGCUCGUGGGGGACCACGUCCGGAAUCGGGGACUACUACCGCAUAAUAUCAGAUGAGGCUGGGUCGGAUUAGCUUGUUGGUGGGGUAAGGGCCUACCAAGGCGACGGUCCGUAUCUGGUCUGAGAGGGUGAUCAGUCACACUGGAACUGAGACACGGUCCAGACUCCUACGGGAGGCAGUAGUGGGGAAUAUUGGACAAUGGGCGAAAGCCUGAUCCAGCCAUGCCGCGUGUGUGAAGAAGGUCUUCGGAUUGUAAAGCACUUUAAGUUGGGAGGCGUUACCAACAGAAUAAGCACCGGCUAACUUCGUGCCAGCAGCCGCGGUAAUAC
rnacentral:rRNA from 1 species